GGACGUAUAGCUCAGUUGGUAGAGCAGCUGACUCUUAAUCAGCGGGUCCCAGGUUCGAACCCUGGUGCGUCCACCA
rnacentral:tRNA from 2 species